rnacentral:rRNA from 1 species
CCGGUUACCCGUCUUCCCGUGACUCAUGACAUCCAGGAAUGAAGGAGGGUAGUUCGGGGGAGAACGUACUGGCGCGUCAGAGGUGAAAUUCUUGGACCGCGCCAAGACGAACUACAGCG